UAAAUCAGUUAUCGUUUAUUUGAUAGUACCUUUACUACUUGGAUAACCGUGGUAAUUCUAGAGCUAAUACAUGCUAAAAAUCCCGACUGUUUGGAAGGGAUGUAUUUAUUAGAUAAAAAAUCAAUGCUCUUUGAGCUCUUUGAUGAUUCAUAAUAACUUUUCGAAUCGCAUGGCCUUGUGCUGGCGAUGGUUCAUUCAAAUUUCUGCCCUAUCAACUUUCGAUGGUAGGAUAGUGGCCUACCAUGGUUUCAACGGGUAACGGGGAAUAAGGGUUCGAUUCCGGAGAGGGAGCCUGAGAAACGGCUACCACAUCCAAGGAAGGCAGCAGGCGCGCAAAUUACCCAAUCCCGACACGGGGAGGUAGUGACAAUACAUAACGAUACAGGGCCCUUUCGGGUCUUGUAAUUGGAAUGAGUACAAUGUAAAUACCUUAACGAGGAACAAUUGGAGGGCAAGUCUGGUGCCAGCAGCCGCGGUAAUUCCAGCUCCAAUAGCGUAUAUUAAAGUUGUUGCAGUUAAAAAGCUCGUAGUUG
rnacentral:rRNA from 1 species